rnacentral:rRNA from 1 species
AAGAGACAGCAGUAGCCGCGGGAAUACAGAGGGUGCGAGCGUUAAUCGGAUUUACUGGGCGUAAAGCGUGCGUAGGCGGCUUUUUAAGUCGGAUGUGAAAUCCCUGAGCUUAACUUAGGAAUUGCAUUCGAUACUGGGAAGCUAGAGUAUGGGAGAGGAUGGUAGAAUUCCAGGUGUAGCGGUGAAAUGCGUAGAGAUCUGGAGGAAUACCGAUGGCGAAGGCAGCCAUCUGGCCUAAUACUGACGCUGAGGUACGAAAGCAUGGGGAGCAAACAGGAUUAGAGACCCCUGUAGUCCCUGUCUCUUAUAC